rnacentral:lncRNA from 1 species
GAUGCCUCGGGUUAAUGAAAACUUUUUUUUUCAACGCCACCUGUAUAUUUGUUGCCUCGGGUUAAUGAAAACUUUUUUUUUUCAACGCCACCUGUAUAUUUGUUGCCUCGGGUUAAUGAAAACUUUUUUUUUUUCAACGCCACCUGUAUAUUUGUUGCCUCGGGUUAAUGAAAACUUUUUUUUUUUCAACGCCACCUGUAUAUUUGUUGCCUCGGGUUAAUGAUCUAGUUAAUUUGUUUUUGUUUUUUUGUUUUUUGUUUGGAUAGAUAUGGAUCGAAGGAAACUUUUAUUGAUCUUAUUGUUAGAGAUGUCUUAUUUGGAGACAAUUUGUAUUUGUACGAUU